CGCGCCAAGAAGUUUCCGUUAAUUGAAAGACGGCUAACGAGGUCAAAUGAUGAAAAUUCACUGCGACCGGUCUUAUUACUUCACCCCAAACUUCGACAUGAGAGGAGAGGAGAUAUGAGAAAAAAGUUGUCUAAAAUACCAAUACAAUCUGCUCCUUUUCAGUUCACACUGUCUAGUUCUCUCUCUCUUUCUCCCUCCCUCCCACACGAGACAUUGCUGAAUUCCGCUGGAUUUUAACACUUUCCUCAUCAUCUGCUGAAAAAAACCACAUUUUCCCACCUACUAUCACUCCCCCAACACACUCUAAGUCCUUUGAAUUCGAUUUCAAU